rnacentral:misc_RNA from 1 species
AGGAGAAUUCCAUUGUCGAGGUUUGAAAUUUCUAACUCUGCAAUAGCAUUUUUUAUUUACCAAUGCAGUAAAUUGUACUCUGUUCUGAUGUGGAUUUGAAAACUGUGUUCCUGUUGAAUAUCCUAUAUAGUUUCUCUCUUCUUCCUUGUUGCUUUUUUGGCUGUCCAUUAAUUAACAUUUUAAGCCUUUGUUUUUGUUGUUACUAUUAUUGAAAGGUUUUUAAAGAUGGAAGUGGAU